rnacentral:tRNA from 1 species
GCAUUAAUGGGGUAGUGGUAACCUGGGUCGUUGCCAUUCGUAAAGAAUCGAUAAAUCUUUCGACCCGCCGGGGGUUCGAUUCCCCCUUAAUGCA